CCUACGGGAGGCAGCAGUGAGGAAUAUUGGACAAUGGGCGCAAGCCUGAUCCAGCCAUGCCGCGUGCAGGAAGACGGUCCUAUGGAUUGUAAACUGCUUUUGUACAGGAAGAAACACUCCCUCGUGAGGGAGCUUGACGGUACUGUAAGAAUAAGGAUCGGCUAACUCCGUGCCAGCAGCCGCGGUAAUACGGAGGAUCCAAGCGUUAUCCGGAAUCAUUGGGUUUAAAGGGUCCGUAGGCGGUUUAAUAAGUCAGUGGUGAAAUCUGGUCGCUCAACGAUCAAACGGCCAUUGAUACUGUUAGACUUGAAUUAUUAGGAAGUAACUAGAAUAUGUAGUGUAGCGGUGAAAUGCUUAGAUAUUACAUGGAAUACCAAUUGCGAAGGCAGGUUACUACUAAUGGAUUGACGCUGAUGGACGAAAGCGUGGGGAGCGAACAGGAUUAGAUACCCUGGUAGUCCACGCCGUAAACGAUGGAUACUAGCUGUUCGGAGCAAUCUGAGUGGCUAAGCGAAAGUGAUAAGUAUCCCACCUGGGGAGUACGUUCGCAAGAAUGAAACUCAAAGNGAGUGACGUGAGAGAGCGACGAGACGACGACGGAGGGAGGAGG
rnacentral:rRNA from 1 species